CCCCACCCCACACAACCAAUCGCCCUCAUUCUCCUCCACUCACCCGAGCUCAAGCCUUCUCCCCCUCUCUUCCUCACUCAAGGGCCUUCCAAAUCUCUCUCAUUUGCUUGAGAUUUGUCCGGUGGAUCCAGAGCACUUUCAUCACCCAAGGAUGGGACCGAUCACCUUCUUUGAGACUUCUGCGGAGGUGGCGGCAAAGCGUGAACGCGAAGUCAUUGAGGAAAAGAUGAAGCCGUGGGUCGAAGUCGUCUAUGUGUUGAAUACGGCUUGUAGAGACUUUUAAAGUACUAUGUGUCCAAGUGCGACGACAAUGAGAAGAUGUACGAAGCUAAAGAGAAAAAAGAUAAGCAAGAGAAAUUUCAUAGA